GUAUGGCAGAAUGCCAUGAGCUCAGUCAGGCGUGCGCGAGAGUUAGCUGCCUUCCUUUUCCUUUCUAAAGACAAAGGAAAUCUCCGGUGAAACAUUAUUGAAGAUUUAUGUUAAAAACAUCCUAAAGAUUGAUUCUAUACAUCGUUUGACAUGUUUCUACGAACAUAAAUGAUGGACUUUAUCGAACAAAACAAACAUUUAUUGUGGAACUGGGAUUCCUGGGAGUACAUUCUGAUGAAAAUCAUCAAAGUCAGCUAUGUCUAAUAUCGUCAUGGAGACUCUCCUGUCCUGGGACCUGGUGUCUAUGGUCAUCAUGUUGUUCCUUGUCUCUACAGAGUCAGCAGGUGACUCAACAAAAUAUCAGAAAAAUAAAUCAGCUUCUUUGGGAGAAAUUGUUACUUUGGUUUGCAAUAACUCAGAGACGGAUGCAUCAUACAUCUGGAAGAAGGACACAGUUCUUAUUUUCUCUCAUAGUGACACACUGAAUAAAUCUGAAAGAAAAUUCACCUCUGACAGGAUGAGUGUUGAUCCACCUACAAAGCUGACUAUCUUUAAUGUAGAGUUAAAUGACACCGGGAGCUACAGCUGUCAAAUAACAGAUGUUCAAAGUGGUGUACGGACAAUGGAGUGGAAUUUGACCAUCACUAAUAACCUCACAGAUCAUGCUGAACAUAACCUACGGAGGUUAUUGCUCUUCACAAUUCCAUCUGCUAUUGGAGGAGUGGUUCUCUGCAUUAACAUCUGUUGUAUGGUCUGGCUAUGUAGGAAACGAAAACAGGAACAGACAAGUCAUUGUGAUAAGCGCAAAGAGGAGAGCAAUGCCCAGUCUGAUGGCCACAUUGCCAGAAGAGAACAACACCAGUGGAGUCAGUACUUCGAAAGACUCAACUCAGUCUAUGGACUGUAGUAAUCACACAACAGUUACUUAACAGGCCAAAAAAGAGUCAAGUAUCAUAGACGGGUUAGCUGACAAGGUCACGACAACAAAGCGCAUGCUUCAAUGAGGAAGAAGUCCAUGUGUAGUUGUGGUUCUGGAUGACCAGAUAACUAGCAACAUUGACAAGAAGCUGCUAUGUGGGAAUCUUAGGUGGUUCGUUUCAGCUUGUUGUGUCUAGUUAGUGAUACUGUGAUGGAACAUUUUCUGUUUGUGUUUUUCUAAUAACCAAUUUCUGUGCUCAUGCAAGUGACUGAUUGAACAUGCAGAGGAGGAAUCCUCACUAUCAGUAUGCAAUUUGGCAGUACACCCAGAACCGUGUUUUGAGAACUAAAGGGAUAUCUUAGUUUCAAGGUCUCAGCUUGGAGAGAGGAAGCCUCUUAAGGUAUUGGUCAGUCACAUGCAUGAACCAAACGUUAAUGAUGAAUUAAUUAUGAAUAAUAAAUAAGCUAAAUCAUGCAAAUAUAACUUGUCUGUGUGAGCAGUAUAUAAGAGAACUAACGGGACUAGUCCAGUGAAGCUCACUUCAGACCGACACUUUAUGCAUCUAAGUUUGACUGGGACGUCUUCAGCGUGCUGUAAAUAAACAAUGCUUCAUUUAAGAUUGACUUCAAGUGUCC
ensembl:lncRNA